rnacentral:tRNA from 1 species
GAGAGUGCGGUCGCGAUGGCGGUGCGACGACGGUCUGUAAAACCGUUCCUUAUAGGUAACAAUUUGGUUCGAAUCCAUCCACUCUCACCA